GGGAAACGAAGGGUAACAGAAGAAACACCUUUUGUUUACACACACACAUGUUUAUAAUCCGAAAUCUCCAUUUCUCUCAGUGGGUCUGGGUUGGGAGUCGGAGUCACCGCAAAUGAGAGAUUUUUCUUCCAGAUUUAGCCACGGUUAAGGCGAAGAGAGAAGGGAAGCGGGCGCACCUCGGACGGGGCGCCCCGGCCCCGUCCACCGCGGCAGCGGGGGCUGAGGGGCCGAAGAGGAGAUGCCUUGGGAGCCAAGCGCUCCCCCUCUCCCUCCUAGAGGCAGAGCGAGCGACAAACUUGCCCCACGCUACACCAGGACUUGGCGGCAGAGAAGGCAGAAUCUGCUGCUUUAGAGGCACUGGACCUGAAAAGCUAUCGACGGAGCUUUACACCUCCAAUGACUCCACAAAUCGAUGUGAGCCGGGCACACGCCUGAAUCCAAUCAGACUCGGGUUUUUUGAAGGUAUUCCUCGAAAUGCCAAAGUUUACACGAAGCCUUUAAGCAGAGCGGUGCAUCCCGGCCCUCCUCCUUCCCCCCUCCCUGGCAAUAAAAAGAAGGGGCGGCAUCAGGACAGGGCGACGAGAGCUAAAAUCAACCCCACCAUUAUUUUCUCCCGACAGAACCGCAUCUUCCGCGGCGCCUCAUUCCAGCAUCCCCGCUCGGGGCUGCCGCUCCCCUCCGCAGAGCACUGCGCGGGCACUGCGCGGUGCGCAGGUAGCGCGGCGGGAGCCGCAGCCGGAGCGGCGCUGCCCGCUCAGCCCCCGCCGUGGCCCCGCAGUGACCCCGGCCCGGGGCUGCGGGAGGUGAGAGGUGACGCCUCGAGCCGGCGCAGACCUGGCCCUUUUAAAGCCACAGCUAAUCAGUCCUUCUGUAAAUUAAAAUCUAGGAACCGGAGGGGAAGCAAUUUCGUUGUAAAGAAUUACGGGGCGCGCACCGGGAACGAAAGAGCACCGAGGGGAUUACGCUGCUGUACGCGGCGGAGGGGUUUGUGGCCGGGGAGCGGCUGCGCUGAGAUGGUCUGA
rnacentral:lncRNA from 1 species